rnacentral:tRNA from 1 species
AGUUAAUGAGCUUGAUAUAAGCGUAUGUUUUGAAAACAUAAUAUAGAAACUAAAAUUUUCUAUUAACUU